UCAUUUCAGGUUUGUCUGUCUCUCCCUGGGAAUAAGAUUGCCCCUCUACCUUUUCCUCUCCACCCAAGGAGAAGAUGAAUUUCUCAAAAAAGAAGGCGCGACGGCCACCCAGCCACUAAGCUCACAGGCAUUGUUCUUGAUGCAUUUCAAGACCUUGCUGAGUAAAGGGAUGAGGUCGUACUGAGAAAAGCAGACGUUUCCACACUUAAAAAAAAAUAAACGGCCUGAGUGUUCUAAGACAGCUGAGACAAUAUGAGCCCCAGUACCUGAACAAUAUCAGG